AUUGAACGCUGGCGGCAGGCCUAACACAUGCAAGUCGAGCGGGUGAAGGGAGCUUGCUCCUGGAUUCAGCGGCGGACGGGUGAGGAAUGCCUAGGAAUCUGCCUGGUAGUGGGGGAUAACGUCCGGAAACGGUCGCUAAUACCGCAUACGUCCUGAGGGGGAAAGUGGGGGGUCUUCGGACCUCACGCUAUCAGAUGAGCCUAGGUCGGAUUAGCUAGUUGGUGGGGUAAAGGCCUACCAAGGCGACGAUCCGUAACUGGUCUGAGAGGAUGAUCAGUCACACUGGAACUGAGACACGGUCCAGACUCCUACGGGAGGUAGCAGUGGGGAAUAUUGGACAAUGGGCGAAAGCCUGAUCCAGCCAUGCCGCGUGUGUGAAGAAGGUCUUCGGAUUGUAAAGCACUUUAAGUUGGGAGGAAGGGCAGUAAGUUAAUACCUUGCUGUUUUGACGUUACCAACAGAAUAAGCACCGGCUAACUUCGUG
rnacentral:rRNA from 1 species